GAUGAACGCUGGCGGCGUGCCUAAUACAUGCAAGUCGAGCGAACAGACGAGGAGCUUGCUCCUCUGACUUUAGCGGCGGACGUGUGAGUAACACGUGGAUAACCUACCUAUAAGACUGGUAUAACUUCGGGAAACCGGCUCUAAUACCGUAUAAUAUAUUGAACCUCAUGGUUCAAUAGUGAAAUUCGGUUUUGCUGUCACUUAUCGAUGCAUCCGCGCCGCUUUAGCUCGUUGGUAAGGUAACGGCUUACCAAGGCAACGAUGCGUAGCCGACCUGAGAGGGUGAUAGGCCACACGGGAGGUGGAACACGGACCCGACGACGAAGGGAGGCAGCAGUAGGGAAUCUUACGCAAAGGGCGAAAGCAUGACGGAGCAAAGGAGAGUGAGAGAUGAAGGUGUUCGGAGCGUGAAAAUGUGUUAUUAGGGAAAAACAAAUGUGUAAGUAUAUAUGGCGGAAUUGACGGUACCUAAAGAGAAAGCCACGGCUAACUACGUG
rnacentral:rRNA from 1 species